rnacentral:misc_RNA from 1 species
GCAAACUUGGUCAUUUAGAGGAAGUAAAAGUCGUAACAAGGUUUCCGUAGGUGAACCUGCGGAAGGAUCAUUAAAGAUUCUGGCCUUGGCCAAAACCUCUUCAGCUGUGCGCCUUGGCUGCACGCUGUUAAAUCUCUCACACCCGUGCGCUGUUCGGUUGUGGGCCUCUUGGCCCGCUUCCGCUUUCACACAUACAACUACAGUCCAGAACGUAUAAACUUUAAACUUACAACUUUCAACAACGGAUCUCUUGGCUCUCGCAUCGAUGAAGAACGCAGC